rnacentral:rRNA from 1 species
AUUGAACGCUGGCGGCAGGCCUAACACAUGCAAGUCGAGCGGAUGAAGGGAGCUUGCUCCUGGAUUCAGCGGCGGACGGGUGAGUAAUGCCUAGGAAUCUGCCUGGUAGUGGGGGAUAACGUCCGGAAACGGGCGCUAAUACCGCAUACGUCCUGAGGGAGAAAGUGGGGGAUCUUCGGACCUCACGCUAUCAGAUGAGCCUAGGUCGGAUUAGCUAGUUGGUGGGGUAAAGGCCUACCAAGGCGACGAUCCGUAACUGGUCUGAGAGGAUGAUCAGUCACACUGGAACUGAGACACGGUCCAGGCUCCUACGGGAGGCAGCAGUGGGGAAUAUUGGACAAUGGGCGAAAGCCUGAUCCAGCCAUGCCGCGUGUGUGAAGAAGGUCUUCGGAUUGUAAAGCACUUUAAGCUGGGAGGAAGGGCAGUAAGUUAAUACCUUGCUGUUUUGACGUUACCAACAGAAUAAGCACCGGCUAACUUCGUG